GGCUAGGUAGCUCAGCUGGUCAGAGCACGGCACUCAUAAUGCCGGGGUCGUGGGUUCGACUCCCACCCUAGCCACCA
rnacentral:tRNA from 1 species